CACGUAGGGCGCAAGCGUUGUCCGGAAUUAUUGGGCGUAAAGAGCUCGUAGGUGGCCUGUUGCGUCCGCUGUGAAAACUCAGGGCUUAACCCUGAGCCGGCAGUGGAUACGGGCAGGCUAGAGGUAGGUAGGGGAGAAUGGAAUUCCUGGUGUAGCGGUGAAAUGCGCAGAUAUCAGGAAGAACACCCGUGGCUAAGGCGGCUCUCUAGUACGGUACUGACGCUGAGACGCGAAAGCGUGGGGAGCGAACAGG
rnacentral:rRNA from 1 species